rnacentral:lncRNA from 1 species
UCUUCUAAUGUUUGUUAUUGGCAGGGUAUAUUUGACAUCAUCGAUUUCGAGGAUAAUCAUGUGAGGCGAGCGAUCGAUACCCAUCUAUCCUUGCGCUUCAAAGAUUAUCGCCAUUACAUGCAUCAGCAUUGGUACCGAAUGGUGCAGGUUCAUGGGCAGGAGGCAGCGCAGCUAUAGCCUUACGACAGCAUCACCAUCGACGAUUGGACUACCA